GACGAACCGUCCAAACGUUAUUCGGAAUCACUGGGCUUACAGAGUUCGUAGGCGGUCCGGUAAGUUAGGUGUGAAAUCCCACGGCUCAACCGUGGAACUGCGCUUGAUACUGCCGGACUCGAGGGAGAUAGAGGAAAGCGGAACUGAUGGUGGAGCGGUGAAAUGCGUUGAUAUCAUCAGGAACACCGGUGGCGAAGGCGGCUUUCUGGGUCUCUUCUGACGCUGAGGAACGAAAGCUAGGGUAGCGAACGGG
rnacentral:rRNA from 1 species